UACGUAGGGUGCGAGCGUUGUCCGGAAUUAUUGGGCGUAAAGGGCUCGUAGGCGGUUUGUCGCGUCGGGAGUGAAAAUCCAGGGCUUAACUCUGGACUGGCUUUCGAUACGGGCAGACUAGAGGUAUGCAGGGGAGAACGGAAUUCCUGGUGUAGCGGUGAAAUGCGCAGAUAUCAGGAGGAACACCGGUGGCGAAGGCGGUUCUCUGGGCAUUACCUGACGCUGAGGAGCGAAAGUGUAGGGAGCGAACAGG
rnacentral:rRNA from 1 species